CUUUAGCGUUGGAGGGAGGAUGCGUGUGGAGCACCCCUGGUCAAGAAACUGUGGGCAAUUGAUGGCUGCUGGGGGAGGAGAGGCCAUUUUUCUUUAGCCAGGUACCUACUGACAGCAGCUCCGCUCCACCUGGGGCCUGGAAGCCGGCAGAUGCAGCUCCUCUCCUGGGCAUACAGUGAUGGAAACCCCUCCUCGCUCCGACGCCCCCAGCCUUUAAAUCAGCCAUGAUUCCGGCCUGACACCGAGUUACGGCACGUUUACAGAGCCUCUGUAGGGCUCUCUAAAUUUUGUGGCCAUGGCUCAUUCUCACCCAGCAAUCCAAAUAAAAAUAGCGCUAUUGAUCACGAA